UGGGGUGUAGCCAAGCGGUAAGGCAGCGGGUUUUGAUCCCGCCAUUCCUAGGUUCGAGUCCUAGCACCCCAGCCA
rnacentral:tRNA from 1 species